rnacentral:tRNA from 1 species
GCCCCCGUAGCUCAGGGGAUAGAGCAACCGCCUUCUAAGCGGUGGGCCGUUGGUUCGAAUCCAAUCGGGGGCGCCA